CAGGAUUCAAUCACAUCUGGCAACCCAACAAGGAUCCGUAAACAAAUGAGCUGUCAAAGAAGUCGCUGUUAAAAGUUUACAUGACUUCAAAGUUUUUCUAUAAAGUCACUCGGUGAAGUUGAGGGGCGGCAAUGUUGCAAGUCUUGGCGAUGAUUUGUGUUAUUUUGCGACGAUAGUACUUUCAUCGCUGUAAGUGUAGUAAGCCGUUAGCUAGCUAGCUCGAAUCUAAACGGAGCGCGACGUAUUUUUCAAACUUUCAACUUCCUCCGUCCUCGCAGCAAACAUUGUAAAGUAUGUGAAAUGUUUUGCAGUUUUAGGUCGCGUAAGGAUGGCGGGGGGUGUUAUUGCGACUUUAAAGCAAACACUGAGGUUGGACGUCGUGAGUAAAGCAGGACGUCAAUAUCCAGUCUUCUGCUGUCUGCUGGUCUUCAUGAUGGGCCUCACCCUGCUGCUCAGCAGGUACAUCCACAUCCUGAUGGGCUUCUGGUCCUUCCUGGCGGGUGUCAUCACAUUUUACUGUGCUCUGGAGCCAGACUCCCUGCUGCCAAAUGUCUUCUUCAGCAGGAAAGCGAGACACACACAUCAGGAACAAGAGUUGUUUCCUUCGGGUCACAGCUGUGCCGUGUGUGGAAAGGUGAAAUGCAAGCGUCACCGGCCCACGUUGCUGCUGGAGAACUACCAGCCGUGGUUGGGCCUGAAGGUUCAUUCCAAGGUGGACUCGUCCAUAGCAGAGGUCUUUGAGCUCGUUCUGGAGAACUUUGUGUACCCGUGGUAUCGGGACAUCACGGAUGACGAGGCAUGCGUUGACGAACUCCGCAUGACCUUUCGCUUCUUUGCAUCCGUCUUCGUCCGCCGAGCUCAAAAGGUGGAUGUACUCGCUGUGUUUGCAGACAAAGUAAUGAAGGCUGCAGUCAAGCAUGUGGAGAUUCUGGCUAAAGCUCAAGCUAAAGUCCAUCAAGGUCACACGCUGCAGCAGGCGUCUCUGGAGGAGUACGGUGCCGACCUCCACGUGGCCGUGCGCAGCCGGAAGAAUGAGCUGUUGUACCUCAGGAAGCUGAGCGAGAUGCUGUUCCCGUACUUGAUGCCGCCGAAAGCAACAGAGUGCAGGUCUCUGGCGCUGCUGCUGAGGGAGGUCAUGGCCGGCUCCGUCAUCCUUCCCACCAUGGACUUCAUGGCUGACCCGGACACAGUCAACUUGAUGGUGCUGAAAUUUGUCGACAACACUCCACCAGAAGCUGCCACAGAAGCUCCGUCAGCUCUGGUUCCGUUCCUGCACAAAUAUGCCGCCUGCAGCCACAAGAAGCCCUCGGUGCUCAAGCUGGGGCUGAAGGAGAUCAGGGAGCAGCAGGACCUUCUCUUCCGCUUUAUGAACUUCCUGAAGCAGGAGGGCGCCGUGCACGUGCUGCAGUUCUGCCUAGCCGUAGAGGAGCUCAACGACAAGAUCCUGAGCCCGGAGCUGUGCGACUCGGAGCUGCGGCGUCUGCACGGUGAGGUUGUGCACAUCUACGAGACGUACUGCCUGGACGAGAGCAUGGACAAGAUCAACUUGGACUGCUUCAUCGUGGACGAGAUAAAGAACGUGGCUGCAGGUCCGUACGGCGCCGUGGUCAAGCUGCAGACCAUGCGCUGUCUCUUUGAGGCCUACGAACACGUCCUGUCUCUUCUGGAGAACGUAUUCACGCCCAUGUUCUGUCACAGCGACGAGUACUUCAGACACCUGCUGAAAGGAGCUGAGUCACCAGCAAGGAGCUCACGAGUCAGCAGGAACACUUCCAAGCGAGGGGAGUCGUUCGGGAUCAGCAGGAUUGGCAGCAAACUCAAAGGUGUGUUCAAGAGCACCACCAUGGAAGGCGCCAUCUUACCGCCCAGUGCCAUGGCCGACGUCGAUGACGACAUAGUGGAGGAGGCCGUGGUGGUGAUGGAGGACGACUCUCCCGCUGAGCUGGCCUGCACACCGGGAAGUCUGAGGAACCUUUCGGCCUGGACCAUCACCAUCCCGUACAUCGACUUCUACGAGGAUGAGGCCAAGAGGGAGAGGAUUCCCGUUUUCUGCAUCGAUGUGGAGCGCAACGACAGGAGGGAAGUGGGUCAUGAUCCAGAGAAGUGGUCGGUCUACAGAAGAUACAUGGAGUUCUACGUGCUGGAGUCCAAGCUCACAGAGUUUCACGGCACCUUUGCGGAGGCGCAGCUUCCUCCAAAACGCAUCCUGGGACCAAAGAAUCAUGACUUCCUGGCCUCCAAGAGGGAGGAGUUUGAGGAGUAUUUACAGAGACUCCUGCAGUACACAGAGCUCAGCAACAGUCAGCUGCUGGCUGACUUCCUGUCUCCUCAUAGUGUGGAGUCCCAAUUUGUGGACAGGAUGCUGCCUGAUGUCAACUUGGGGAAGAUCUUCAAGUCUGUUCCUGGAAAGUUGAUAAAAGAGAAAGGUCAAAACCUGGAGCCUUUCAUCCAGUCCUUCUUCAACUCAUGCGAGUCUCCCAAAGCCAAACCCAGCCGUCCCGAGCUGACCAUCCUUAGUCCCGGCGCCGAUGCCAACAAGCGGCUCCUCAACCGGCUCUUCAGGAACAAUGCCAACAUGCCGUCUGGCACCGAGAGGCGACACAACCACAGCUGCUUCCUGGGGGCGGUUGGCGUUGAGGGAAUGUACGACUACAUGAUGCACGUUGGUCGACUGGCGUUCCGCAUGCCGCUAUGGUUGCAUCACUUCCUGUCAGCCGGCAGGAUCCUUUUAAAGAACACCUUUGAGGCGUACAUGGAGCAACACAUGCAGUCCAAGUUGGAUGAGAUCAUGCAGGAGCACCGCCUGGUCUCACUCAUAACGCAGCUCCGAGGUCAGGUCUAUCAUCUUUUACUCCAUCUUUUAGACUUCCCGUUCUAAACAUGCUCGCCACACGUGUUCCGCCAGACGCAAUCUUCUGUGAGAGCAGCGAGGAGCGAAGCAGUCUGGACAAGCAGGCCAGAGCCAAGCAGACCUUUGAGCAGAUGAUGGACUAUCUGCCUGACAUGGUUGAUAAGUGUAUUGGCGAGGAGGCCAAGCACGACGGAAUCCAACUUCUCUUUGAGGGUCUACAGCAGCCACUCCUCAACAAGCAGAUGUCGUACGUCCUGCUGGACAUCGCCCUGCUGGAGCUCUUUCCUGAACUUGAGCGCUGAAGGACGUAGUCAUGGAAACCAAGCAAACAAACUGAAUCCACAUCCUGGGUGAGAAAAGUGCAAUACUUAGGAAAGCAUUCCAAAUAAAAUAUUUGUGAGCA